rnacentral:rRNA from 1 species
GUGCCAGCCGCCGCGGUAAUACCGGCAGCCCGAGUGAUGGCCGGUAUUAUUGGGCCUAAAGCGUCCGUAGCUGGCCGCACAAGUCCGUCGGGAAAUCCACGUGCUCAACGCGUGGGCGACCGACGGAAACUGCACAGCUUGGGACCGGAAGGCUCGAAGGGUACGUUCGGGGUAGGAGUGAAAUCCUGUAAUCCCGCACGGACCACCGAUGGCGAAAGCACUUCGAGAAAACGGAUCCGACAGUGAGGGACGAAAGCCAGGGUCUCCAACCGGAUUAGAAACCCGGGUAGUCC